UACGAAGGGUGCAAGCGUUAAUCGGAAUUACUGGGCGUAAAGGGUGCGUAGGCGGCUGGCUAAGCCGGAUGUGAAAGCCCUGGGCUCAACCUGGGAAUGGCAUCCGGGACUGGUCGGCUGGAGUGCGGUAGAGGGUGGUGGAAUUCCCGGUGUAGCGGUGAAAUGCGUAGAGAUCGGGAGGAACAUCGAUGGCGAAGGCAGCCACCUGGACCAGCACUGACGCUGAGGCACGAAAGCGUGGGGAGCAAACAGG
rnacentral:rRNA from 2 species